rnacentral:lncRNA from 1 species
UUAACACUAGGUACACACCCUGUAUGGUAGGGGUUAGGGUUAGAGUUAACACUAGGUACACACCCUGUAUGGUAGGGGUUAGGGUUAACACUAGGUACACAUCCUGUAUGGUAGGGGUUAGGGUUAGAGUUAACACUAGGUACACACCCUGUAUGGUAGGGGUUAGGGUUAACACUAGGUACACAUCCUGUAUGGUAGGGGUUAGAGUAAACACUAGGUACACACCCUGUAUGGUAGGGGUUAGAGUUAACACUAGGUACACACCCUGUAUGGUAGGGGUUAGGGUUAACACUAGGUACACAUCCUGUAUGGUAGGGGUUAGAGUUAACACUAGGUACACAUCCUGUAUGGUAGGGGUUAGAGUUAACACUAGGUACACACCCUGUAUGGUAGGGGUUAGGGUUAACACUAGGUACACAUCCUGUAUGGUAGGGGUUAGAGUUAACACUAGGUACACACCCUGUAUGGUAGGGGUUAGGGUUAGAGUUAACACUAGGUACACACCCUGUAUGGUAGGGGUUAGAGUUAACACUAGGUACACAUCCUGUAUGGUAGGGGUUAUAGUUAACACUAGGUACACAUCCUGUAUGGUAGGGGUUAUAGUUAACACUAGGUACACAUCCUGUAUGGUAGGGGUUAUAGUUAACACUAGGUACACAUCCUGUAUGGUAGGGGUUAUAGUUAACACUAGGUACACACCCUGUAUGGUAGGGGUUAUAGUUAACACUAGGUACACAUCCUGUAUGGUAGGGGUUAUAGUUAACACUAGGUACACAUCCUGUAUGGUAGGGGUUAGGGUUAACACUAGGUACACAUCCUGUAUGGUAGGGGUUAGAGUUAACACUAGGUACACAUCCUGUAUGGUAGGGG